CGGCCUCUUUGUCUCCAACUCUGAUUCGCUCAAAUGCGGGUUUUUGUUCUGCAAUAUCGCUCCAGUUUGCUAAGCGCCAUCUGGAUUAGGUGGCGUUCGUUUGCUGCCUUCCCUCUCUCUUUCUCUUCCUCUCACUCUUGUCUUCUUUUUCUUUCUUUGUCUGAUUUUGGUUUUCCAUUGCAGGUGAAGCAUUAAAUAAGACCGAAGAAGUGGCAAAAUGAUCUGCGAGUACCUUGUGGGGACUUUCCUGUUCGGAGUUUUUUGUUCGAACUAUUGCAAGCUACCGGACAACAGCACUGUUCUCUCAAGUGGACAUACAAUGAAAACGGCGUAUCCUUGUGUUCAGUACAGUUGCAACAAGGGAAACCUGACAACGAAGACAUGCCGCAAAGGAGGAUACCCAGAUUGCUUGACAUCUUCGGCAGCAAGCAGCCCAUAUCCUGACUGUUGUCCUCCAAUGGCGUGUUCGUAACAUCAAUAAACAUGCGGCACGCAGACC